CCUACGGGAGGCAGCAGUGGGGAAUAUUGGACAAUGGGCGAAAGCCUGAUCCAGCCAUGCCGCGUGUGUGAAGAAGGCCUUCGGGUUGUAAAGCACUUUCAGUGGGGAAGAAAGCCUUGGGGCUAAUACCCUCGAGGAAGGACAUCACCCACAGAAGAAGCACCGGCUAACUCCGUGCCAGCAGCCGCGGUAAUACGGAGGGUGCGAGCGUUAAUCGGAAUUACUGGGCGUAAAGCGCGCGUAGGCGGUCUGAUAAGCCGGUUGUGAAAGCCCCGGGCUCAACCUGGGAACGGCAUCCGGAACUGUCAGGCUAGAGUGCAGGAGAGGAAGGUAGAAUUCCCGGUGUAGCGGUGAAAUGCGUAGAGCUCGGGAGGAAUACCAGUGGCGAAGGCGGCCUUCUGGACUGACACUGACGCUGAGGUGCGAAAGCGUGGGUAGCAAACAGGAUUAGAUACCCGAGUAGUC
rnacentral:rRNA from 1 species